ACGGUGGUGGGAUGAGGCUAGACCCCCUUCUCCCUUUCUGGAACCUUGCCGAAUCCGUCAGGGCCGUGUCCCUGGUCGGCCAACCCACACCUGACGGCUAAGGGACACAGGAAAAGGCGGCAGAGUAGAGACCCUUGGAUUUGCUCCUUUGGAUUUUGGAUUUUGACCUGAGUUUCUUUGUCAGUCCUCAUGCCAGACCCAGUGGUCAAAGAAGUUGGAGACUCAAAGGCUGUUUCUUUUUCCUUCAUUUUUCAAACAAAGAAGCUUCAUGAGAACAUUAAGCCCCAAAGAGAAUUGUGUUCAUUGCAAGACUUGUCAAGGAUCGGUGGAGAGAUUUAUAUAAACAAAUCAUUCAGUUCUUCCUUUGGUGACCUUGGUCCUGAGAGUGAAUGCGAUGGUCCUACAGCUUUUUGGCCCUUCAUCAGUACAGAAGCUGCAGUCUGUGCUCAGCAAGACCUCACCAAAGGCAGGAAAAUUAAAGAGAGAAAUGGUCCAUGGCGUAUUCUUACCCACCAUAAAUUGGCGUCAUUUUGGCCACCAUCCAGGGGAGAGAAACCAGCCUCCUGAAACAGAGAAAAAAGAUCAGAAGCUGCUGUAAGGAAGGGAGAUGCAACUUUCCUGGGAAAGAAUUAUCCUUUGCUCCAUUGCUCAGUCAUUCAACAAACACCACCCAGGACAUACAUCGAGUGGAAUAAGGCCUAACACUGUCUUUCAAAGGCAGCUUUUAGGGUCAGCCUUCACAAACAGUGGCUCAACAUCUCUACAGUGUCAGCCCAGCCCCGGGCUUCUGCCUCGACCAACCCAUGAUGACCAGGCAUGUGACCUGUCCCCAGCCGGCCGGGACACGCUGCUCCUGCCAUUAUUA